rnacentral:rRNA from 1 species
GUGCCAGCAGCCGCGGUAAUACGUAGGGUGCAAGCGUUAAUCGGAAUUACUGGGCGUAAAGCGUGCGCAGGCGGUUUUGUAAGACAGAGGUGAAAUCCCCGGGCUCAACCUGGGAACUGCCUUUGUGACUGCAAGGCUGGAGUGCGGCAGAGGGGGAUGGAAUUCCGCGUGUAGCAGUGAAAUGCGUAGAUAUGCGGAGGAACACCGAUGGCGAAGGCAAUCCCCUGGGCCUGCACUGACGCUCAUGCACGAAAAGCGUGGGGAGCAAACAGGAUUAGAUACCCUGGUAGUCC